AGGGGCUAGGGGCUAUUGGUAGCUGGCUCUCUAUAAAUUCAGCAGGACGGAGGAGAUAUUUCCACUUUCUUUGCCUUAGAACUUUGGACAGUUGGACAGCGUAUUAGUAGCUAUUCCCUUUAGAGGUCUUAACUCUGACAUCAUGAGUGGAAACACUCCAGCCGAUAAAGGGGACAGCAGUGAUGAGUAUUGUGGUUCUUCCUCAGGUAGUUCCUGCUCAUUCCAGGAAUGCUGGGAGUCCAAUGUGCCCGAGCUGAUCUGCAAGGAGGAGUCCUUGGAUGAUGACCUUCCUGAUUCUGAGCUUGCCAUGGAGCCUUCACCCUCCCAAGACAUGGAAAUCAAAGGAAUCAUGUCCCGCAAAGGCAAAGGCGGUAGCUAUGCCAGGGGCAGACAGAGGGCUUCUAUCAUCAAAGCUGGAAGAGGAAAAGGAGAUCCUCAGCAGGCCACUAGAAAGGAUCUGAGAAAGACCGAAGAAAAGGGGGAUACUCUGCUGGCAAUCCAGGAAGAAAAGGAGAAGGAGAAGGCAGGGGAGGCCAUGUCUGAGGAUGUCGAGAACAACAAUGACCAGCCACAAUCUGAGGCCACCAUGGAGAAAGAGGGCGAAGGUGGUGGUGACUCCUUCGGAAACCGCGCGUAAGCGGCAUCAGCCUGGAGAAGGAAGAGGCCCUGAAGAUCCAGGCAGCAAGGACCAGCUGGCCUAGCUUGAGGAUGAUGGAACAGCAGCCCUGAAGGAGCCCAAGGGCAGCAGAAACAGCAGCCAGGGCCGGCGGCACCCACCAGUGCCUGACCCCUCCUGGGGCCCCAUCCUCGAGCCAGCCCCACCAGGUCCUCCCCCUCGGGAUCUCGGAGCAUCUGCUCCCGUGGCCUCCUGCUUGGCCUCUCCAGGCUCCUUUGCUCCCUCUCCUUCAUGCUUUCCCACUUCCUGCGGUCUCCCAGGAGACAUAGUCAAACCUCCCUAGUUGGGCUUUUCUCACUUUUUGACACCUUUUUUCAGUUGAGCAUUAAAAAAAAGCAAAUUGCUCCCUUGGUGCUUUGGUUUGGUUCUUUCAGGGGGGCUGCUGGGCUGGGGAGGGAGGGGAGGGCAAAGCCCCGAGUUCCUGGGAGUUUCUGUCCUUGAGGACCCAGCAGAGCAGCAAGGGCCCCCCUGGGGCCAGGGGGGGACCAUGUGGCCUGGGCGGAGACCCCAGUGUCUUGGACAGACUCCCCCCUGCCACCCAGUCACCCUGGCCAGCCCCAGCCCCAGAGCCUCUUGGCUAAAGCCCUCAGCAGGGCAGGGGCCUGGGGUUUGGGCCUCAGGGAGCCAGCCUGUGGGCGGGGGCGGGGGGCAGCAAGUCCCAG
rnacentral:lncRNA from 1 species